rnacentral:snRNA from 1 species
AUCGCUUCUCGGCCUUUUGGCUAAGAUCAAGUAUAGAGAAAGUGUGAAUAGCAAUAUUAAAAUAUUUUGUAUUUUAAUUUUUUAAUACUAUAUUAUAUACUAGAGGCCCGGUGCAUGAAAAUUUGUGCACUCGAUAGGGUCCCUCAGCCCAGCCUGCACCCUCUUGCAGUCUGGGACCCCUC